AAUGGGCGAAAGCCUGACGGGGCAACGCCGCGUGAGGGAUGAAGGCCUCUGGGCUGUAAACCUCUUUUAUCAAGGAAGAAGAUCUGACGGUACUUGAUGAAUAAGCCACGGCUAAUUCCGUGCCAGCAGCCGCGGUAAUACGGGAGUGGCAAGCGUUAUCCGGAAUUAUUGGGCGUAAAGCGUCCGCAGGCGGCCCUUCAAGUCUGCUGUUAAAAAGUGGAGCUUAACUCCAUCAUGGCAGUGGAAACUGUUGGGCUUGAGUGUGGUAGGGGCAGAGGGAAUUCCCGGUGUAGCGGUGAAAUGCGUAGAUAUCGGGAAGAACACCAGUGGCGAAGGCGCUCUGCUGGGCCAUCACUGACGCUCAUGGACGAAAGCCAGGGGAGCGAAAGGGAUU
rnacentral:rRNA from 1 species